ensembl:lncRNA
GUUCAGAGAAUUAAUUGGAAACCUUGUUUCUUUUAUACAUAAACCUGACAAAAAAAUGUAGCUUAGAGCAAAGGGUGAAUGUUAGCUUAACUGCUGCUUAUGUCUUAAGUACAUAAAACCUUUAAUAGAAUAAGCCAGUAGUCACUGAGUUUUUAAAAAUAUUACCAUGUAUAAACAUAUAAUAUCCAACUUCAUCCAAAAAUAUGAUUGAGUUUAAGUACUUUGUUUUUCAGGCAUAUUUCAAGUAUAAUACUCCUUUGAUUUUCAUUGUUCUGAUUUCUGGGUCUUCAAUUCAUUCAUCACCUAUUCCUUUUUAAGUAAAAUAAGUUUUAUUUUUUGAGUUGCAUUGGGAUUUUUCCCAGGAAAAAUAUGACUUUUAGUAAUGCUUUGCAAUUGGCUGUGCAGAUAUAAAUUAAGAUAUGUUUAUCCUGAGUUCUUAUUGGAAUACGUUUCAAAAUCAACGAGCUUAAGAAUGAAAACAAAACUUUUGAGCGUCUCACAAAAUAGCUUUCUGGUCAAUAUACCUUACUUGAUUUGUAAGCUCGGAGAAUAAAGUAUAGAAACAAAUGGAGCUGAAGUUCCAUUUGCUAAUUCAGAGACUUUUGUGCUUCUGCAAAUUGGAGGGCAGCAAGCCAUCCUAUUCUCAUAAUAAUAGUUUUGGCUUUGAAAUUUACAUACAAAUUUAAUAGCAUAUUUUUAGCCAUUAUGGAUUGGUGCAAUAAAGAGAGAUCAAUGUAAUGCAAUGUGAUGCUUUAUGGGCCUCAUUCUAAUUCAGAAAGCUGGUUUAAAAGAACUAAGACUCUUCUGUUUAAUAAAAUAACAACAAUCUAAUAUCUAGAUUGGUGGUCCUGCAGUGUCACCAGUGGGAGAUGAGAGUAUUAAGACAAGAGCAAGGACAAGGAAAGACUUAAAGGUUGCAUACUGAAAAGUUUGGAAUUCCUAAUUUGGGAGCAUUGAUUUCUUGGUGAAGAAGUAAGUAUGACUACAUUGCCAGUAAUUUUUUUAAAACAUAGACCCAGAAAUAGCAAAUCUAUUUCACCCUCAUACCUUAGUCUACAAGGCCUUGCUCUUGAGAAGGUUUUCCAUGAUAUUGCUUAAUUUCAUCUGCACAAGAUGAGACGCAAACAUAAAAAUUCCCUGCUCAUUUUAAUACCAUGAAAGGCUGAGGUUAUUUCUCUGUCAUAAAAUUGUAAAUAGCAUUUUUUAAGUCAAAAUUACAUUUAAAACAGUGGAUUGUUCUACAAAUAUAUAUGUGUAUAUAUACAUAUGCUUCUGAAAUAAGGAUAUAUUAUAUAGAGUUUUUAUUUGAUUUGUGGUCUCUAGUCAUACAUAGUCAAAAAUAAAGAGAUUUGAAUGCAAAACUUUAUACAUUAAUGUAUAUUUCUAAUGAUAGUACAAAUUGCCACUUUAUAAUAAAAAAGAAACAGGUGGGAAUAAUAAUCAAAGCACACGUUCCUUCGGUACUUUAGUGAUUUUUAAUCCCCCUUGUGAUGCGCAGGAAAUUAUUUUUUAGUUACAAAAAGUCAUCUUAAAAAGCUAUACUUCCCAAUACAGAUUUCAUGAUAAGUCCUAUCAAAUUGAGAAUCUGUGGUGAAAGCUUAGGAAAAGGAUGCUAGAUGCUGAUCUUUAUUUUUCAGGAUUUUUCCUGGAGCCCAAGUUAAAAAUUCAAUAUUUAAAUCUAAGUUAAGUGAAAAUUAAUAAUGUUCGGAAAUGAUAUAUUGAGCUUUAGUAACAGAUGGAAGCAAAAAUAAGAAUAUUUAACGUUAUGAUAAUAGCCUUAAAAUAAUGUAAUAAAAAUUGCAUCAUUAAAUGUUCUAUUAGUUGGAAAGAAUGAGCUGAUGUUUCUUUGUCUUUGCUCCAAGUACAAUUUGAAGACAAUGCCAUUCAUUUUACUCAAAAUUGUUCAAAAAGUCCAGAACAUACUCCCAUGGCUAGAAUUGGUAUUAGCUCCAAUACAAGGUUAAAUGUUACAAUCUUAAAAAAUUAUUGACACUGAAAUGUUUAGUAAACAUGUUGUAUGAGAAACUAAACAAAUUAAUGUUUCAUUUUUCCAUUAAAGCACAGAUUAUUCAAAUCAUUGUUUUCUGAGCUCAGAUUUGUAAAAUGUUUAUACAUCACUACCCUCCUGGAAUUAAAAACAAUUAAAUCCUGAGAUGCUCAUGCACAUAGACAAAAUAUUGGCACUUUUUUUUUAAACAUUAAACUUCUUUGAGAAGUCUA